AUGAUAUUCUCUUUUUGUAGAUUAUUUUUCUUUUAGUACAAUUUGGUUUCCUUUAUACAAGUUAAGGCUUGGAAUUCCAAUCCUUGAACUCUGAUAGUUCUGUCUGUUCUAUCUUUAGAUUUCCAAAAAUUUCAAUUAGAUCUCUACUUAACUUAGUUCAUGGUCUGUAAAAGAGAGUAUGACAUAGUGUUAUUUUAUUAUGUUCAGUGGCUUGCUUUUUGUUUCUUCAUCACAGUAUCAUUUAGUUACUGUAGAAACUAUAGACUUACCAUUCAAAAUUUAAGGACAUAACAAAUUGAGAAGUGUAUCGCCAAGGUGUUGGCUAACAGAUUGAGAAGGGUGCUUCCUUUGGCAAUAGCAUAUUCUCAGGAUGCUUUUAUUGCUGGUACACAAAUUUUAGGUCUGGCCCUUAUUGCAAAUGAGAUUAUUAACUACAGAUUUCACAAUUAGGAAGGGGUCAUCUUCACGAUUGACUUUGAAGAGGCAUAUAGCCACGUGGGUUAGAAUUUCUUGUAUGAAGUCCUAGCCAAGAAGGUUUCUAGGUAUAAAUAGAAAUCUUGGAUUUGGAGUUGUGUUAGAUUGGUUAAGUACUCGAUCCUUACGAAUGGGAGACCGAAGGGUAGGAUUUGUGCUUCAAGAGGGUUUCAGCAGGAAUCCUCUUUUGCACUUUCAUUUUCUCGUGGUGGAUGUUUUGAGUAGGAUCUUUUUGUGAGGGGUCGAGUAUAAUGCUAUCGAGGGUUUUGAAGUCGGGAAGGAUAAGUUGCCCCUCUCUCAUCUCUAGUUUGCUGAUGAUGCUACCUUUUUUUGCUCAGGUAAUGAAGAGUCGUUCUUCAAUCUGAAUAAGUUUUUAGCUUUCUUUGAACCCAUUUAUGGUUGAAGAUUAAUAGAGGGGUUUGAAUUGUGAGCUGCAGAAGAUGAGUAGGUGGGCUGCCUUGGUUGGAUGUGAAGUUGGUUCGUUUCCUUCCUCUUGAACCUUCGUCCCCCACUUGGGCAUAAUCCUAGACCUAUCCGGUUCUGUGACCUUGUUGUGGGUAAGGUUCAUAGGAGGCUUUCAUCUUGGAAUAUGAGUUCCUUCUUGGAAGGGUCCUCGUGUAUGUGACUGAGGGUCUCGAGAAGCAUAUAUGGGAUUUCCUUUUGAGUGGGCCUUGUAUGGAGGUUGAGGCACAUAUAGAAAACCCUGGAAAGACAUUGCUGAGGAGUACACCUUUUCCUGCUUUGUUCAUUGUUCUGUGGGGAUGGAAGAGAGUUUUUGGGUCGGAAGAUAAGUGGUUCGGAGAUAGAUCCCACUGCUUUGUGUUUCCUCAUCUUUAUCAUUUAUUUAUGAUGAAUAAUCAUUUGAUAGCCGAUUUUCUAUCACAUCCUAGGUAUUUUCCCUCGCCUUUGUUGGGCUUCCAUCAUCCUUUGUCCAAUAUGGGGGAAACGAUGGACAUUGUCGACCUCCUUUCAUUGUUGGGGGAAUUCCGUUAUUUUUUGAGGAGGGAUGCUUGUUGUUGGAGCCCUAGCCCGACCGGAGGUUUUUCGUGUAGGUCCUUUUUUUCUUUGCAUGAUUAAUCCCUCUUCCUCCUCUCCUUUGGGGAUUUUGUUUUUGCCUCAUUGUGGAAGGUGAAAAUCUCAAAGAAGGUUAAGUUUUUUGCUUGGCAUGUUAUUCACGGUAGAGUUAAUACCUUAGAUAGGGUGGUGAGGAAGUAGUUUCCUACCUUGGUGGGACAUUCCUUAUAAGAGAUUUAUUAGGGUCUUGAUCACAUGCUUUGUGCUGCAAUUUAGCUUAUGAUGUUUGGGGUCGGUUCUUUGUAGAGUUUGGUCUCGCUCUUGCUACACAGAGUUAUUAUAGAACGAUGAACAAGUAGUUUAUCCUUCAUCCUCCCUUUCGCGAGAGGAAAGUUUCUGACAAGCUGGGGUAUGUAAAAUAACAUGUGGAGGCUGUGGGGACAAUAGAAUCUUUUGAGUGCUUGAGAGGUCUCCUUGUGACCUUUGACCCCUUAAGAUCUUAGGUCUUAUUUUGUUUGAUUGGAGGCCUUUCAUGUAGGUUGCCUCCUUUUGUGGGCUCUCUUUUGUAUGCUCUUGUGCUCUUACAUUUUUUCUGAAUAAAAUCUCGGUAUCUUAUUAGAAAGAUAAAAGACAUAACUGAUUUUGUAA